GAGCCCGUAGCUCAGGGGUAGAGCAUCUGACUUUUAAUCAGAGGGCCCUGGGUUCGAACCCCAGCGGGCUCACCA
rnacentral:tRNA from 1 species